rnacentral:lncRNA from 1 species
CGGUGCAGCUGGCGCAAAACGUCAUCAUCCACAACCUGCACGUGCACGACGUCAAGCACACCAUGGGCGGCCUCAUGCGCGACUCCCCCACGCACAUCGGCUCCCGCACCAGGGCCGACGGCGACGGCAUCUCCCUCUUCUCCGCCACCAACGUCUGGAUCGACCACAUCUCCAUGUCCAACUGCGAGGACGGCCUCAUCGACGUCGUGCAGAGCUCCACGGGGAUCACCAUCUCCAACUGCCACUUCACCAACCACAACGACGUCAUGCUCUUCGGCGCCAGCGACUCCUGGCCGCAGGACCAGAUCAUGCAGAUCACCGUCGCCUUCAACCACUUCGGCAGGGGCCUGGUGCAGCGGAUGCCAAGGUGCCGCUGGGGCUUCUUCCACGUUGUCAACAACGACUACACGCACUGGCUCAUGUACGCCAUUGGCGGCGGCGACGCGCCAACCAUCAUCAGCCAGGGCAAC